rnacentral:rRNA from 1 species
GACGAACGCUGGCGGCGUGCCUAAUACAUGCAAGUUGAGCGAUGAAGAUUGGUGCUUGCACCAAUUUGAAGAGCAGCGAACGGGUGAGUAACGCGUGGGGAAUCUGCCUUUGAGCGGGGGACAACAUUUGGAAACGAAUGCUAAUACCGCUUAAUAACUUUAAACAUAAGUUUUAAGUUUGAAAGAUGCAAUUGCAUCACUCAAAGAUGAUCCCGCGUUGUAUUAGCUAGUUGGUGAGGUAAAGGCUCACCAAGGCGAUGAUACAUAGCCGACCUGAGAGGGUGAUCGGCCACAUUGGGACUGAGACACGGCCCAAACUCCUACGGGAGGCAGCAGUAGGGAAUCUUCGGCAAUGGACGAAAGUCUGACCGAGCAACGCCGCGUGAGUGAAGAAGGUUUUCGGAUCGUAAAACUCUGUUGGUAGAGAAGAACGUUGGUGAGAGUGGAAAGCUCAUCAAGUGACGGUAACUACCCAGAAAGGGACGGCUAACUACGUG